GCUUACGGCCACACCUCCCUGAGCACCGCCCGAUCUCGUCUGAUCUCGGAGCUAAGCAGGGUCGGCCCGGUUAGUACUUGGAUGGGAGACCGACCCCUGGAAUACCAGGUGCUGUAAGCC
rnacentral:rRNA from 1 species